UAAUAUAUUUAUGAAUUCAAUAUAAUCUGAAUCAUUUUAUAAAUUUAUAUUUAAUAAAUUUUAAAUGAUUACAGUUAGCUCCAGGUAUCUGUUCAAGCUCUUAUAAUGGAAAUCAAUGCCUAUUCUUUUCAAAUCGUAGAAGUCAAGUUUCAUUUUUUACUUUAAAUUUCACCUUAUUGUUGUUGUUCUUUUGCUGUGUAUGAUAAUAAUUUCACAUCUUCUUGGAGUUCCCUUCUUUUUGAAGUAUGUUCCUUUUAUUUUGAAUAUGAAUUGUUAGGUAGAAAUUCUUACUUUGCCCAAUUUUAUGUUUACUCUUUAUAACUAAUCUAAUUUUUUCAGUAUGUUUUUUUGUGUACAUGGUCAUAAAUUAUAUAUACUAGUCAUUGCAAGCAUAUGUUUGUGUGUACUUUCUGCCGUAGCCUCGAUUGACAAUAACAGAAAUCACAAUAAUGAUAAUUAUUGAAUAAACUUUUCAAACUGAUAAUUUGUAGGACAAAAUUUUCAUUAUCCUUCACAAGUGUAAUUCUACCUUAUAAUAUGAUAUAUUUUUUUUGUGUAAAUGUAGAGAUUAAGUUUCCUUAUUCCUGUUUUUUUUUGUUAUUCUAGUCCACAGUAGUUGUAGCACGAAUAUGGAUUCAAAAUACUAACUUUUGAAUAACCGCAAUAUUGGCCAACGACCUGACCGUUGAUGUAUAUAGCACACUUUACAAUCUUUGAAAAACAAUGUAGCAAGGAAGAAUUAUUAUAUCAUCUUUUUGCUAAUCUGUAUCAACUUUAGUAGAGAACUUACAAAAUAUUACCUUUGUCACAUCUAAGUCUAAUGUUUGAAUUAGGGCCUAGUUUUAUUGGUUUUGUUCUAUCUGUGUUGCUUUAUUACAUUAUGAGUAUUCUAUAUCUAAAAGUACAAAUAUACAUUUAAAUAUGACUCCUUUUUUUCUAAUUGGUAAAUCUGUAAUUCUGUCCUCAUGUGUUGAUAGAGGAUUGAGUUUUUAAGCCUCUCUCAAAUUCGUUAAUUAUGUGCAGAACUUGUAAAUAUGUAACCUGUUAAUCAUGAAAUAAACAGUCCUUCUUCCCGAUACAUAAUAUAAGGAUUGAUAUUUUUGGUCCUACUGUUAAGAUUAGUAACUCAUUGUUUGUCUAUAUUAAGAAUUCUCCUCGCUUAAUUUGGAAGAUCUGAAAAAUUACAAAUCUCAAACCUGCCAGUAGUGUCAAAAGCCAUGUAGGCUAAAUAAUCUGCUCGCAUAUUUCCUUCUCUGUAAGUUUCUUUAAGUUGAAUCCAACACAAUUGCGAUGCAUCCCAUGGAAUCUCGUAAACUUUAAUAAGGAUCAUAAUAACAUACUUGAUUCAUCCCAACAAUAGGCGAUGAGUGAUUUCCUCCCUUAUGGCUAUAACUUUCGCCUCUAAGUUUGUACUUUUAUUAAUCUCUACACCUUGAGCAUGUAGUAAGUCCCUUGAACAAUAUCUUAAAGAGAAACCAUAAGUGCUUCUUUCGGGAAUUCCCCUUGAUGAACCACCUCUGUUGCAUUUCACAAGACCUAUCUUAGAGGUUUCUAGCUGACUACGAUAUAAUGAAUCCUUGAAGUAUGCUUUUCCAGAAAAUAUAUUAUAUUAGACGAAGUUUUAGGAAUAUGUAGUCCAGAAUAGGUGGUCCUCCCAUGUCUCCAUAAAUCUGAAUUUACUUUAAAAACUUGACUGUUGUAAGAAGAACACUUUCCAUGCUUCAACCUGUUUCUCCUUUUCCACAACUUGCAUAUCACAACGGUUGGGACAACUCUCAAUAGUGGGGCUUUUAUUUGAACAACAAUAUGAUGUGCACCAUUUAUUGCAAACUUGUGAAAGUUGUAACCCCACUAUUUGGAUCCCUGUAAAAUUAGCGAACAACCUCCAUAUCUUAGUAGCUAUGGGGGAGGUUAGGAAGAUAUGACACAUAGUCUCAGUUGUAGGCUUAGUGCCUCCAUAUCUUAGUAGCUAUGGAGGAGGUUAGGAAGAUAUGACACAAAGUCUCAAUUGUAGGCUUAGUGCAAUACUAACAUUGUGAAUCUAUAUUGACUCUGAUGUGUUGUAGGAUAUCACCCACUGGAAUUAUAAAUAUCCAAGCUAUACAUAGGAAAAAAGACAUAUUAAAAGGGAAAACAAAAGACACAUUGAGUACUAUGCUGAAAUUGUGUUUCUGUUAUUUCAUUUAGCAUUGGAAAGACUAUGCUGAAAUUGUGUUUCUGUGAUUUCAUUUAGCUGGUUGAUUGUUUUGUAGGCACUUUGUUUCAUUUCAUAUUUCUUUUCUAUGAAGUACAUCUCAUUUACGCUUAUUUCUAUCUUGGUUGGUGUAGACUUUGAUUCUAAAUUUUUGGUGGUGCUUCUUGUUGUUGAAAGUGACUGUAAAACUGCUCUUUUGAAGUCUCUGUGUUGAUUUGGUUUGUAAGAUGGAGUAGAGAAGUUCUUUGAUUGUUCUUUUACAAAAUUAGGAGAACCAAUGUUGAUCCGUUGUCCAUGUAUUCAAUGUUGUAAUGCAACUUCUAGAACACGUGUUGUAGUUAGGUUACAUUUAAUAGUACAUGGGAUAAUACCAAGUUAUACUCUUUGGUAUCACCAUGGGGAGAUGUCAGGUGAAGCACAAUCAGAUUUUGAAUUUGUAGAUGAUAAUGACAUUGAAGAGGAUGAUGGUGAGGAGGAAAUACAUGAGUUGCUAAGAGAUUUGUACUCUGAUUUUCAUGGAGAUAAUAUGAAUAAUAGUACUGGUAAUGAUCUUCGGGAGGAGGAACCAAAUGCCUAAGCAAAAAGAUUUUAUAGGUUAUUAAAAGAUCUUGAUCUACGAUUUUAUGAAAGUUCAAAAGUUUCUAAACUUUCUACUAUGAUUAAAUUGCUUCACCUUAAAAUUAUUGGUCAUUAGAGUAAUGAGUCAUUUACGAUGCUAUUAAAGGUUUUGAAAGAUGAUUUAUUGCUUGAUGGAACAAACCUACCUGAUUCAUAUUAUGAGGCAAAGAAGGUAAUUCGAGAUCUUGGGCUUUCUUAUAAGAAGAUUGAUGCAUGUGAGAAUGAUUGCAUGUUAUACUGGAAGGAUUAUAAUUGUCUUCAAUCAUGCAAAGUUUGUGGUGCAUCUAGAUGGAAGGAUGCAAAACAUAGUGGGAAACAAAAUUGAAAAAAAGGAAAAAAGAUAGCCUGCAAGAUUUUAUGUUAUUUUCCUAUAAAGCCAAGAGUUCAAAGAUUAUUUAUGUGCUCAAAGACAUCUCCUUUGAUGUCAUGGCAUCAUGACAAAAGAGUUGAUGAUGGAAUAAUGAGGCAUCCAGCCGAUUCAAUGGCAUGGAAAAUUUUUGAUGAACAUCACCCAUCUUUUGCAGCCGAACCUCAUAAUGUGCGGCUUGGACUUGCUAGUGAUGAUUUUCAACCAUUUGGGUCGAGAACUCCCUACAACAUUUGGCCUGUGGUACUUAUUAUUCCUUAUAAUUUGCCCCCUUGGCUUUGCAUGAAGCAAGAGAAUUUUAUUCUGUCAAUGCUUAUACCUGGUCCUAAUGGUCCUGGUGAUGCAAUUUAUGUCUAUCUACAACCUUUAAUAGAGGAGUUGAAUGAAUUAUGGGAAACUUGAGUGGAGACAUUCGAUGCAUCAACUAGAAAGAAUUUUCAGUUACAUGCAUCUUUGUUGUGGACCAUUAAUGACUUUCCAGCAUAUGCAAAUUUGUCUGGAUGGAGUACAAAAGGAAAAUUGGCUUGCCCAUGUUGCAAUAAGAAAACAUACUUGACAUGGCUAAGCAAUGCCAAAAAACAGUGUUAUAUGGGUCACAAAUGCUAUCUUCCUCUUAAUCACAAAUGGAGAAAUGAUAAAGUGUCAUUUGAUAACACUAUUGAGAAUAAGCUACAACCAUAAAUGUUGUCUGGUGCUUAUAUACUUGAUCAAGUUGCUGAUUUAGAUGGGUUGCCAUUAAAAAGGGAUCCACAGAAAAAGAUUAAAGUAUCGCAUAAGAAAAGGGGUGAUAACUGGAAUAAGAAGAGUAUAUUUUUUGAUCUUCCAUAUUGGAAAUCCUUAUUAUUGUGACAUAAUCUUGAUGUGAUGCACAUUGAGAAGAAUAUCUGUGACAUUGUUUUGGGGAAAAUUUUAGAUAUCAAAGGGAAAACAAAAGACAUAUUGAAUACUCAAUUGGAUUUAGAAGAAAUGGAUAUACGAAAAGAAUUGCAUCUAAUACAAAAUGGAGAUGAAUAUGAGUUGCCGGCAGUAUCUUACACAUUAUCUGUUGAAGAGAAGCAAAAUUUUUUCAAAUUUUUGAAGAAUUUAAAGGCCCAGAUGAAUUUUCCUCCAAUAUUUCUCAAUGUGUCAACCCUAGGGAUAAAAAGAUUUCAGGAUUAAAAAUCCAUGAUUGUCAUACAAUUCUACAGCAUUUACUCCCACUUGCCAUGUGUGUUAUGCUUUGCAAAUCUGUGUCUGAACCACUUAUUGAGUUGUAUAUUUUUUCAAAAAUCUUGGAGCAAAAUGCUUUAGCAUACAGGAGUUGGAACAAAUAGAAGCCCAAAUACCAAUAAAGCUAUGCACGUUAGAAAAGGUUUUCCCUCCUGCUUUUUUUGAUGUCAUGUUGCACUUGUCUAUUCAUUUACCUAAUGAAGCUAAGAUUAUUGGACUAGUUCAAUAUCGAUGGAUGUAUCCAAUAGAGACAUACCUAUACUUUUUGAAGUGUUUUAUUGGUAAUCUGGCUCACCCUGAAGGUUCUAUUAUAGAGGGAUAUUUAGCAGUUGAACGUAUGACAUUAUGGUCAAGGUAUUUGAAUACAAUAAAGACAGUUUAAUUGUCCGGAGAUAAACUAUGAUGGUGGGGUAACUGAAUCUGAGGGUGGUUUAACCAUAUUUUGUGAUCUUGGAAAAAGUUUAAAGGGUAGUUCACCAGACAAACUUGAUUCACCUGAUCUGGAAGAGGCACAUUUUUAUAUUUUGAAGAACUGUGAUGAAAUUUUUCUACCAUUUCUCGAUAUAGAGAAUUUUCACAAAUUCACAGUGAGGCCUCUCAGCAAAGUUCAGAUAUGGAGUGGAAUAGACAAUUCAUUAGUUGGUUACAAAAAAAAGCUGUACAAACAUGACGAUAGUAAGAGAAUGGCAGAUUUGCUAUCGUUAUAACGUGGUCUUCUGCCAUAUGUGACAAGAUUCAAAGGAAUUAUUGUUAAUUGACAUAGGUUUCAUGUGCAAGAGUAUGAUAAAUAUUUGAAAACGCAGAAUUGUGGGAUAGUUGUAGUAGGUGGGACUGGUGAAGAGCAAACACGUAUGAAUUACUAUGGCAAGUUUACAUAGGUUCUUGAAUUACAAUUUGUUGGGGGAGAGAAGAGUGACUUUGUUCCGAUGUACGUGGUUUGAUGUGUAUGAUCAGAAGAGGGGAGUUAAAAUGGAUGAAUAUGGCUAUGUAAGUGUUAACCGUCGGCUAUGUUUGAAUAUAAAUGAACCAUUUGUAUUAUCUAGCCAAGCAUCACAAGUUUUUUUAUGUUAUCGAUCAUUCGAACCAAGGUUGGCAUAUAGUGCAAAAUGUUCAACAACGUGAUUCAUUUGAUAUAUUGGAAAAAAAGAAUGAUGACUUAGAAGAGAAAAAGAACUCAUUAAGGUGCAUUUGAAUUUGAUAAGUCAAAAAGAGUGAUUCGAGUGCCUCGAUCUGCUCAAAAAAGUGAUACUGGUCCGUUUGAAUCUAGAAAAGCAAAAAAAGUUUUGGAAGUGGCUUAAGGUGCUAAGGAAACUGAAACUAGUCUUUUUGAAUUUGACAAGGCUAAAAAAGUGACUGAAGUGUCUCGGCAGGAUCAAAGAAGUGAUAGUACAAUUUUAUUUUAUUUGUGUAACUUUUUUUAGUAAACUGAAUUUAUUUCUUGGACAUUUUGACUUACAGUUAGAUUUACAGGUUUGUUUGAAUCUACAAAAGCAAAAAAAGUGUUGAAGUGGUACAAGAUGUUGAGGGAAUUGAAACUAAUUUUGCAGGUCCAUGUGAAACAGAAAGGCAAAGAACGUAAGGGGAACAAAUAUUUGUAUGAAUGUUUUGCGACUGAGACCUGGAAAAAAAAUUAAAAGUCACUUUCUAUCAAAAUCGAGUCGUCGGGCAGAAUCACACCUCAUUUACGAGAAAUUUGGGUUUGCUAGUUCGUGAUCGUAAUAUGUGUCUACUGUGGUACACUCAUGGAUGGACAUUGAAGAGCAUAAGCUUGAGCACAUGUGGGCAGCUGUUAGUGAGAAGUUUGAUUGUAAUGACAUGAAUGAUCAAAGAGAUAAUGUUUUGCAACAUAUGAGAAAGCUUUGGAAUAGCUGGAGAGGAUCACUGCACAAGAAUUUGAAAUCUAAAUCAUUGCGCGAUGUUCUUAAAGAAAUGCCGAAGAGAGUAGAUAAGAUUGAUUGGGAAUGGUUGGUCAAGGAACAUUUUUUAUCUGAUAAAUUUAAGGAUGCAAGUACAAGAAACUCAGUCAAUAGGUCUAAGUUAUGUAUGCCUCAUCGUACGGGUAGCAAGCCUAUUAGAGAUAUUAUUUACGAAGUGGGAGGCAAAGAUGGUAAUCCACCAAACAUGGCAACUAUUUUCUUUGAGACACGUAAGAAGGAAAAUGAGCUUGUUGAACCUUAAACUGCUGAAAAAUAUGUAUGGUUUAUAUAUUAAUUUCCUUACUCUUACUUAGUGCAUUACGUUAUUUAAAUAUUUUUAUGUCUUAUGUGCAUAAGUAAUGAGCUUGUACAAUCUGAACCAUUUCUUACAAAUAUUGAGGUAGUGGAAAGGUGCUUUGGACCACAACGCAAAAGUCACGUAGUUGGACUUGGUGGUGGAAUAACAACUAAGUAGUUAAAAAGAGGUACCACCUCAAAGGCUGCAUUGUGGGAAGAGCUUAAAACAACUCGAAAAGAAAAGGAAUCACUACAAAAACGCAUGGAUAUUCUUGAGAGUAAAUAUGAACACCUUGAAAAUAUAGUGACCCAUCAGUAUUCAUCAGUUCCAUUAAUUCCAUCAGAUGAAGAUUUUGAAGAUUAAAGAACGAGAUGUGAAAGCUAAUGUGGCGUGUGUAGAAAAGAAUAUCAUACUUUAUUGUUGGUGCAGAGACGUUUUCUGUAGUUAUUCUAUAAUGUCAUUUUCUUAAUUUCUAUCUAGGAUUUGAUAGAUGUCGAACACAUAUGUUUUAUCAUGUUUAACGUGUAUGCUUUUUUUUUAGGUAUUGUGUUGAACAUAUAAGUAUUAAGUUAUUAAAUCAAUGUGUUCUUUAAUAUUAA